UUUGCAGAUUAGCGGAAUAACAACUUUGCGGCUGCGCACGUGGUGAGUAAGUGCGGUAUUAAGAAGAUUUGGAGGUAUGCGUAAAAUAUGCGCGAUGACCAGCGCAAGAAAGAAACAGUGAGAAAUAGUGAGAGAUGAUAUGAGGUUACGUCACGUGCGACAACAACUCCACCAUACGGCUCACUCUCGAAACUCGUGUUCCCUCUCUUUCUCUCUCUCAUGUUCAUACGCUACAUUCAGCGUACAUUUUAGCGCGUACAUUCCACGAAUCUUUUAAAUCUAAAAUUGCGCGAUCUUAUUUUUGGUAUUAUUCUGUUAUCUUUCGCACGGCGAUACUCGUGCUGCGCGGAUCGUGUGUCGGAGCAUAUUGAAUAUCAAAUGUAUCUAUGCGAUGAUAUCUAUGAGUAUUAUCUUUGUUCUUAUGUAAGUACGCGUCGAGAAUACUUAUAUCGUAUCGUACUUACGUACCAUAUAAAAUGUUGCACGAUAAUAAUCAACAGGAUUUUUGCAAGUAAAUUGCAUUUCCAUACUGAGAGGAGGAUGAGGCGUAGAACGGGCAUCGGAAAUCAGUGGAGCAACUUUAAGAUAACAGCAAUAAAAUACGCGUCGGAAGUGCCGCAUAAAAUGUCGUGACAUAAUAAUUAAUCAAAUUUUGGGUGAGUGAAUCGUGUUCUCUUAUACUGAAAGAAGGAGCAGGCUCAGGAUGAGCAUCGGGCAUCGGCAGAGAAACUUUAAGUGUACAUGGCAGAGUGUCGAAAUGCGUGUUCCGUGCGAUUCAUGUAAUAUUCUAGUUUUAUUUUUGUCAUAACAUGACAAAAUACGCGUCGGGAGUGCCGUUUAAAGUGCCGUAUGAUUAUCGUAUUCGCGCCGCGAAAUCGUGUGUGAUUGCUUUGAAGAGCACUGAGAGGAGGAAGAGGCUCAGGAGGAGCAUCAGGCGCCGGCUGAGCAACGCUUACAUCAACUUUGUGCGCGUAAUUGGUGCUACAAAAUA